UCUCCGUGUAAGAUCUGCAGUAAGUUUGAGACAGAAUAUUGUUACACAAGUAGUGCAGCUCCUUUCAGGAAUAGCUCAGUAUGUAGGUUGUGUUUGUAGUGAGAGAGAGCGAGAGAGUGAGAGAGAGAGAGAGAGAGAGAUCGAGCUGUGAGGCUGGCGACUGUAGCAGAGAGUUAGCUAGUUAGUUAGCAGUUAGCAGUAUAGCUGUGAACGUACAGUAGGAUAUAUGUGCACUCUAACCUGUUUCUGCUACAACUACAACAACAGCUACAAUUCCUCAAAACCGAAGUUCCCGCCUCUCCCUUGUGCUUCCUACAGUCCAGACUAUGAGCCAAGAAAAAUUAACAAGAGUGAGGGUGGAAAAUGCAGGGUUCUGCAUUGUCGCUGGAGUGUGUCAUUGUCAAUUAAUGGAAGGCGAAAUAUGAAGAUGUCCAGGCAGAGCAGCAAGAUGAAGGAGAGAGACUUCCAGCACAAGACAGGCAGCACAAAAUCAUGUGAAAGGAAAGCCCCUGAAUUUAAGAGAGAUUUGCUACUACUACUGUCAUGAAAAGUAAAUGCAUCAUUGUUGACCAGAGCCUCCUUGAUCGUCCUGUGUCCGGCCAGCAUCACCACUUUUUUGGAUCCAAGGUGGA